GGAGGGAUGGCCGAGUGGACUAUGGCGGCAGUCUUGAAAACUGCAGGAGGGGUAAGCCUUCCGUGGGUUCGAAUCCUACUCCCUCCGCCA
rnacentral:tRNA from 1 species